GACAGAGGGUGCAAACGUUGUUCGGAAUUACUGGGCGUAAAGCGCGUGUAGGCGGCUUUGCAAGUCGGGUGUGAAAUCCCACGGCUCAACCGUGGAAGUGCACUCGAAACUGCAAGGCUAGAGUCCUGGAGAGGAAGGUGGAAUGCUUGGUGUAGAGGUGAAAUGCGUAGAGAUUUGGAGGAACACCAGUGGCGAAGGCGACUUUCUGGUCUGUAACUGACACUGAGGCGCGAAAGCGUGGGGAGGCGAACAAGG
rnacentral:rRNA from 1 species